CCUACGGGUGGCAGCAGUGGGGAAUAUUGCGCAAUGGGCGAAAGCCUGACGCAGCGACGCCGCGUGAGGGAUGAAGGUCUUCAGAUUGUAAACCUCUGUCAGCAGGGAAGAACGGUCACUGUGCUAAUCAGCAGUGAAUUGCCGGUACCUGCAAAGGAAGCACCGGCUAACUCCGUGCCAGCAGCCGCGUUAAUACGGAGGGUGCGAGCGUUAAUCGGAAUUACUGGGCGUAAAGCGCUCGUAGGCGGUAUGUCAAGUCAAGGGUGAAAUCCCCGCGCUCAACGUGGGAACUGCCUUUGAAACUGGCAAACUGGAGUGUGUGAGAGGAUAGUGGAAUUCCAGGUGUAGGAGUGAAAUGCGUAGAUAUCUGGAGGAACAUCAGUGGCGAAGGCGACUAUCUGGCACAUAACUGACGCUGAGGAGCGAAAGCGUGGGUAGCAAACAGGAUUAGAUACCCCAGUAGUC
rnacentral:rRNA from 1 species